rnacentral:rRNA from 1 species
AGAGUUUGAUCAUGGCUCAGGAUGAACGCUAGCGGCAGGCUUAACACAUGCAAGUCGAGGGGCAGCAAGGGUAGCAAUACCUGUUGGCGACCGGCAAACGGGUGCGGAACACGUACACAAUCUACCUUUAUCUGGGGUAUAGCCCGAAGAAAUUCGGAUUAAUCCCCCAUAAGAUAUUAGAGUGGCAUCACUUCGAUAUUAAAACUCCGGUGGAUAAAGAUGAGUGUGCGUCCCAUUAGCUAGUUGGUAGGGUAACGGCCUACCAAGGCAACGAUGGGUAGCUGGUGUGAGAGCACGACCAGCCACACGGGCACUGAGACACGGGCCCGACUCCUACGGGAGGCAGCAGUGAGGAAUAUUGGUCAAUGGACGCAAGUCUGAACCAGCCAUGCCGCGUGAAGGAUGAAGGCCUUCUGGGUUGUAAACUUCUUUUAUUGGGGAAGAAAAUUACGGUUUCUACUGUAACCGACGGUACCCAAGGAAUAAGCACCGGCUAACUCCGUG